UCUCGCUAGCAUAAAAGUUAACUCGAAUUUGUAUGGAGUUGGAACGUUUGCCUACGUUUGCCGCUAGGGGCGCUGUUCCAACUUCAUACAAAUUUUAAGCUAACUUUUACGCUAUCGA
rnacentral:pre_miRNA from 9 species